rnacentral:rRNA from 1 species
AGUGAACGCUGGCGGUAGGCCUAACGCAUGCAAGUCGAACGGCAGCACGGUAAGAGCUUGCUCUUACGGGUGGCGAGUGGCGGACGGGUGAGGAAUACAUCGGAAUCUACUUUUUCGUGGGGGAUAACGUAGGGAAACUUACGCUAAUACCGCAUACGACCUACGGGUGAAAGCAGGGGAUCUUCGGACCUUGCGCGAUUGAAUGAGCCGAUGUCGGAUUAGCUAGUUGGCGGGGUAAAGGCCCACCAAGGCGACGAUCCGUAGCUGGUCUGAGAGGAUGAUCAGCCACACUGGAACUGAGACACGGUCCAGACUCCUACGGGAGGCAGCAGUGGGGAAUAUUGGACAAUGGGCGCAAGCCUGAUCCAGCCAUACCGCGUGGGUGAAGAAGGCCUUCGGGUUGUAAAGCCCUUUUGUUGGGAAAGAAAAGCAGCAGGUUAAUACCCCGCUGUUCUGACGGUACCCAAAGAAUAAGCACCGGCUAACUUCGUG